AACGAACGCUGGCGGCGUGGAUAAGACAUGCAAGUCGAACGCGAUUUAUUGUGUUAGUAAUAACAUGGUAAGUUGAGUGGCGAAAGGGUGCGUAACACGUGGGAAUUUACCAAGAAGUGGGGAAUAGCUCGACGAAAGUCGAAUUAAUACCGCAUAUGAUCCAACGAUCAAAGUCGGGGACCGUAAGGCCUGACGCUUUUUGAGAAGCCCGCGGCCCAUCAGCUAGUUGGCGGGGUAACGGCCCACCAAGGCUAUGACGGGUAGCUGGUCUGAGAGGACGACCAGCCACACUGGAACUGAGACACGGUCCAGACACCUACGGGUGGCAGCAGUCGAGAAUUUUUCACAAUGGACGAAAGUCUGAUGGAGCGACGCCGCGUGGAGGAUGAAGGUUUUCGGAUUGUAAACUCCUGUCACUGCAGAACAAGGGCAGAUCUGUUAACAGCAGGUUUGUUUGAUGGUAUGCGGAGAGGAAGGGACGGCUAACUCUGUGCCAGCAGCCGCGGUAAGACAGAGGUCCCGAGCGUUGUUCGGAUUCAUUGGGCGUAAAGGGUGUGUAGGAGGUUGGGUAAGUCAGGUGUGAAAUCUCAGAGCUUAACUCUGAAACUGCGCUUGAUACUGCUCAGCUAGAGGAUCGGAGGGGGUAUCGGAAUUUAUGGUGUAGCAGUGAAAUGCGUAGAUAUCAUAAGGAACACCGGUGGCGAAGCGGAUACCUGGAAGAUUCCUGACUCUGAAACACGAAAGCCAGGGGAGCAACGGGAUU
rnacentral:rRNA from 1 species